rnacentral:rRNA from 1 species
UACAGAGGUCCCAAGCGUUGUUCGGAUUUACUGGGCGUAAAGGGUGCGUAGGAGGUUAAGAAAGUCGGAUGUGAAAGCUCACCGCCUAACGGUGAAACUGCAUUCGAAACUUCUUAGCUAGAGGAUCAGAGAGGAAAGCGGAAUUCUUGGUGUAGCGGUGAAAUGCGUAGAUAUCAAGAGGAACGCCAAUGGCGAAAGCAGCUUUCUGGAAGAUUCCUGACUCUGAGGCACGAAGGCUAGGGUAGCAAAC